CGGCCCGGCCUCCUCCUCUCGCCUCCCCCAGUCACAGUCACACCGGCCAAACCAGAGCCAGAGAGCGGCGGCGAGAGGAGAACGGCGGCGCGGCUAGGUGAGCUCCACCCAACCAAAGAGACGAUCCUCCGCGUUCUCCCGUUCGGGAACGACGCAGGCGGAGAGCUCUCUCCCACGAGCUCGUCCCGUCCGUUCCUGGCGCGGCGGCUGAGGCGAUCGAGGUCCCCGGACCGGACGGGCUGUGGGUUGAUCUCCGCCGGACAAGCGCUGCCUGCAGCACGAUGCACAGCCUCACAGCGCGCGACGGGACCUCAAAGUCUAGAGACAGGGAUAGAGAACGCUACGAUGGCAAGCACAGGAACUCAGGAAGUGUGUAAGGCGGCGCCAUGGGAGAGAUAGGGAGAGGUACCAGGACAGGGAGAGUGAACGGAACCGAUACCAUGGUCGCCAUCAUCGAGUGCAUCGUGAAAGAAGGCAGCACCAUGAUCGUUCGACGAUCAUGACUAUCGCCGCUGUAGCAGUGAUCGUGAUGCUUAAAGUGAUAAUGCAGAAGAAACCUCGAUAGAGAUGACCACAGAAGGAAUCGUUCACACUCCCGUUCGAAGAGUCCAAGGUGUAUGUGUUCGAUGCCUUCCAAAGUGUAUUAUUUGCAUUCUGGUUAAUGCUGUAAGCAAUAGGUUUGUUUGAUUACUUUGAAUCAAACAUGUGGUUUCCUGGAAUCAACUAGCAUGUGAUUUUGAUUCACUAAGUGUGAUUUUUGUAUGCCGUUAGUUAUUUGUUUUCUAUCGCCGGGAAGUUGACGGAACAUAAUGUGUUGGACAAAUUUGAACAAGUAAUUGUGAAUGCAGUUGG